rnacentral:sRNA from 1 species
CUCGCUCUGUUGUUCAGAGUUAUUAAAUGAAACAUCAAGUAGUAAAAGUAAAACCCUCAGAAUUGCCUCAUAGUUAUCCUCAGUGUUUCCCUUAGCUUCAUAGAUACAUUAAAUAAUUCAAGCUUCUAGCGCAUCGCAAUAUUCGCGAUUAAUUUAUUAUUUUUAAAUAAGGGACACAACAUGUCUAAUAAAGUAACUGGCUCUGUAAAAUGGUUUAACGAAACUAAAGGUUUCGGUUUUCUUACUCAAGAUAACGGCGGUGCUGACGUAUUCGUUCACUUCCGUGCUAUCGCUUCUGAAGGUUUCAAAACUCUAGCUGAAGGCCAAAAAGUGUCUUUCGAAGUAGAGCAAGGCCAAAAAGGCCUUCAAGCUGCAAACGUUGUAGCUGCAUAAGUUUUAAAGUAGGUGCAGGUGGCUUUGCCACUUGCAUCUAU